rnacentral:lncRNA from 1 species
UAAAUGAUAGUGCGUAUAUAUAGAAAUGUGCCCCAAACAUGGGUGGAUGAUCAAAAGUAAUCUUAAUUGCUAGAAAUGAAGAUUAAAUUGAAUUAAAUGAAAUUAAAAAAUAGGGUGCAAAAUGACAGAUUUGUUCAUUCCUAACAAGUUGUGGAAUUCCAAAACAAUCCCUAUGUUGCCCUAGGACUUGCGUGUUCUUGCAUACUGAUCCGGGAUCGUUAUGAUGCUUGGUUGAACGUAAGAUGAUUGUUUUCUUGUAGGGCUCGGCAUGUCGAUCGAUUUGAUAUCAACUUCAAGCCAUGGAUCAUGCUUUUGGUACACGAUUAUGUGACCUGAAUUUUGAGUAGAUCUUGAAAGUUCGAAUCGAUAGUAUGUUCUUUCCUUGAUUUUUUUUGUGUUUUCUUCAUUGAAUCACACUGAGCAUGCUGCUACGAUCAUUGGGCACCAAACACAACUUGAUUUCGUGGCCGAACGAAGAUUUUGCAAGUUUGUGGGAAAUACCUAAAAAACAAAACAACCAGUGGGGUCAUAAAUCAUUCGCCGAACAAGGAAAUUCAUGGAUCUGCAACCACUUACAAUCUACCCGCUCAUCACAUUGAACAGGGUGGUUGUGUCCUGAACACAUCUGACAUUUUACGUCAUACGGGGCUAGACAUUACCUGUCUCGGCUCUUUAACAUCGCACGAUUUUUACGUUUUUUAUGUCUUGGCUCUUCAACAUCGCACUAGUUUGAAGUUUUUCCUAUCUUGGCUCUUCAACAUCGCAUGAGUGUGAUGUUUUUCUUGUCUCAACUCUUUAACGUUGCACGAGUUUGACAUUUGUCCUGUUUCAGCUCUUUAAUGUCACACGAGUUCGACGUUUUCCCUGUCUCGGCUCUUUAACAUCGCACGAGUUUGAUGUUUUUCCAUUGAAACAAGGUGGUUGUGCCCUGGAUUGAACUUUGGUUGGCAGUUUAGGCUCAUGCCACCGAAGAGC